GCCACCCGUGCAACGACUACCCCUCACUCUGGGAGUGGAAGAGGCGGCGAGUAGAGAGGAGACCCGGUGGAAGGAAAAGCCAGCAUUUUAAAAGCCCAUAUUAAGAAGAGCAGUGGGAAGGAGGUGAUCGAAGACGAGGUUUGCAGUGAGAAAGAUGCCCAUGGACCACUGAGUUUUUCUACCUGUAUUCCCGAACACAACUUCAUUUCUUAACCCGGGCUGUGCUGAUUGGGGAGCUUAUCCAAAGGAGGGCCAGGAGAGGCAGUGACAUGCCUCACUCAGGGCUACCCUGGCUGCUGAGGAUAUGAGCUGAAGCACCUGGAGCUGCUCCUCAUUCCCGUCUUCUUCCUGCUCCUCUGGCCCCUCAGACCCACCAUCUCAACAGGAUGAUCUGGCCAGCAACAGCCCCUUUGAGGACGAGCUUUGACAAGUUCGCUGGGCCUUAUCCUCUAGUUGGGAAGUGCACCUCCAGCACUUGGUGAGAAAGAGUGACCUUAGCAAACUUCGACUGGUCCAUUCACUGCGGGAUCCUCAGGGCUGGGCAGGGAGUCUGGCAUACCCUAAGCCCAGUGUAGCAGCACACAAACCCCAUGGAAAAGUGGGUACUUUAACCUCAAGUUUAAGUACAACUAUCAUACAGCGAAGAAUAGUCAUACUGGUUGAUAGGAAGGCUGCUAUAUCCACUCUCUCAUAACAUUUUUUUUGCCCCUCCUCAAAAGAUUUGGAACAAUAAAAAUCAAUUAAUAUACAUGGCCACAGAACAUAUGUGUAGCAAACUUCUGUGUUUUCUGCCAGAUAUGUUAGGCAGAGAGAGAUAGAGAUAGAAAGAGAUUGCUAAUGGCCAGUAAUCAUUUACAUAGUGCUGAAAAAAAAAGCAUAAGCCCCCAAAUGAGUGUGAAAGGAAAGAUGGGGACCUGGAGUUCCCUUGGCUUGUCAGAUGCUUCUAAGCUUCUCAAAGCAUGAAUGUCUCACCACCAUAAAUAGGGCUCUGGUGUUUAAAGACAUAUAUUUUUGGUACAAUAAGGUCUGUAAACUGAAGCUGGCAAUUUGGGGUAUAUACAAGCCAUGUAUGUAUGUGGUCCUUGAGACAUUUAAAAUUUUUUCAAGGGUAUUUUUGACUCCAUGCAAUGUCCACCUUGUGCCCUGACUUCAGAACCUCCCCCGUGUGUGGUGUAC